AUCAACUGAAGUGUGGAAAGUUGGCUGUAGCAGUGCUAGGUGUCUGGAGGUAUGACAGAGGUCUAAGUUGAAUACUGGCUGAAUGCAGGAAUGUUAAGACAUCGCGUGCAACGUGUCUGACUGCAUAUAUGGAAUGGUCUCCAUGCACUGGAACGGCUGUUUUGGAAAAGAAACAGUCAAGAGCUAUAAAAGGUAUUCAAAGAUAG
rnacentral:lncRNA from 1 species